UAAGCAUUAGGGAUGCAAGGAGGUGUAACUGUCUCUGCUUCCAAGUGGUCAGGGUCCUCCAUUUAGUGGGGGAGAGGACAGAUCCAUAAACAACUAAAUGUGACGAUGCCCUGGGGUAAGCAAAGACCCCGAUGGGGGAAACCGAAGAGGGAAUCUCCCCAGUCCACGAGGUGGUGGUCUUUUCCACAAAAUAUUGAAAUCUCCUACCUUUUCAGGGGUGGAGGAGAGAAGGAAGAAUUACAGAAGAAAAAUCAAACUUGAGGAAGUGAAGCUAUCAGGCCAAUAGAGGGGUGAUUUUUCUGAUACCACUAUGACAUGUCAUGGGGCUUUACCCAUAAUACACUGCAUGGAAUUUCACAAGACAUGACUACCCUUUGCAAUGGUGUUGAAGGAGCAUCUUGGUUCAAGUCAGAAACAGCGCUAAUGAGGUACCCUGGGAGUGGAACAUUCUAUCAUGAGGUUAUUUCCACACCUGUUAUGUAUAUGAGACUGUCACUCGAAGAAAAUCACACACAAAAAGCACAUGAGAAGAUGCAGAGGAAGGAGCAAACAAUUGUUUUCCUACACUUUCGAGGACACGGAAAGGGAAAUGUAAGAAAAACAGUAAAGCUUACUAAGCAUUUACCUGUGACAUUUGACAGUGGUAUUUCUGCUUCCCAGAACAGCCUUUGUCCGGUGGUCUGUCCCCUCAGUUUCAGCUGCUGUGACACCUUGUAUUCUAUCUAGCACUUUAUUAAACUCCCGGUGAAAAGCCUGGACAAAAGAGGGCAAUUUCUCCCUAACUUUGGCCUUCUAGACCGUGGUACUUGAUUGCCAAUGAGAGGGUGGCCUGGCAUAUUCUUGGGAAGCAGAGAAGAGACUCUUACAUUGAGGGAUUACUUAAUCUUGGAAGGGUUGAAUUUCCACUUUCUUGUGCUCUCUACCGUAACCCCGACACUCCUCCAUAAUUCUAUUUCUGAUAAAAGAAUAAGAGAACCUGGAAGAAGUGAAUCAUGAGCUAUAAGCUGUCCUGGGGACCUCAGGAUCCAUCCCCUUCCUUACACAUUGCGGUGAAGACUCUGAGACCUGGAGUAACUUGAUUCAAGUUUUCUUUUGAUUCUUUCCAGGACACCAUGCUACACAUCAUGAAAAUGCAUUGAAUUAAAUUCCUAGCUUCCAUUAGGUGGAGAGCAGGUAGUAGAGGGACUUAUUAAAUGUCAGGCACCAUGCUAAGGGUUUUAUGUACAUUCUCUCACAUAAUCCUCAUAUCAAGUCUAUGAAUUAUUAUUAUUCUAAUUUUUCAGAUUCAUAAACUAAAGGUUGGAGAGUUUUAAGUCACAGAAUAGUGAAUGGCUGAGCCAGGAUUCAAACCCAAAUAUGCAAAGGCCAUUUAUUCAAACUGCUAUGCUACACUAUGUUGUCUAUGUAAAAUAUAACUUAUUGCCAAGACAUGGGGAGUAAUUAGAGACCCCAGGAGACAGUGAGAUCCCAGGAAACAUCCAGUGCGGGAAUCAUCCCUUAAGAGUAAUAAUAAUGGUGAUAGCUACCAGUAACCGAGUUCCUGCUAAAGGCCAGGCCCUUUGUUUUCGUUAUUUAAUUGAAUUAUUACAACCACUCUGUGAGGUAGGGAUAAUUACAUACCCAUUUUUCAGAUGAGGAAACUGAGAAUUGAAGAAAUUAAAUAACUUCCCAAGUCACAGAGUUGGAAAGUGGUAAAAUGAGACUGAUAGGUAAAUCUAAGUAAUUUGAAAUGUCCUGCUCUUACUCAUUUUAAGAUGAAUGCCUGGCCACAGAAUCUAUUUAAUAGCUGCCGAAUACAUGAAUAAAUGAAUGGGGAAAAAAUGAAUGAAUCGGGACUGCAAUGGAAUAUGUACCUGUUAUGUAAUGCCCAAGUAGGCCUUGGGAAGAAUCUCUUAAAAACAAAUGAGUAACAAAUAUAUAAUGCUUUGUUUUGCUCCGAAAGGUAGAACUGGGACAAAUCCGUGGAAAUUGCAGACUUCCUGUGGCUUCCUGCACAGGAAUCUGGCUUCAACAUGUUCAUUGCCUGGAUGACCUUCAAUCCUAUGAUUCAAAGAUUCUAUGAGAAUCAGUGUCUUUAUAGAGGCCUAAUAAUGAAGAACCUUCCAACAUAGAGCUGCCCUGUAAAACAGUGAUCUGAUUAUAUAAUAAUAUAUUUGAACUGAUUUAACAGGUAUAGAAGCCAUGAGAGAGAACUGAAGACACUUACCCAGGGUACGGAGUUAGUAAAUGUCUAGUACAGGUAUCUAACCCAAGAAGUCUAAAGUUACAGCCCUUUCGACUAACCAUCCUACACUCCCUUUUGCUAUCCAAUGUAAAGGGGAAGAUUGUCAGCAGGGACUAUACUUAACCUUCACAAAACCUGGUGGUUGUAAGUAGCCCCCCGACACCUUUCACCAGGCUCUCUCCAGAGCACCAGAUGUCACCAAAUACCUCAUUCAUUUUCCAGGCUUCUCCCACCUCAAAGUCGUUUUUCUUACUUCCUGUUUCUAAGGAAUUUCACUGUUACAUUUGAAGCUUAGAACCGUGAUCAGGAGAAAUGUUUAAAAAGGCUCAUUACCAAAAGUAUGGGAGCAAUUAGAAAAAAACACUCCUUUCCCAAAAGAGAAUCAAUUUUCCAUUGUGAGAGUUUCCAUCCUACCCAGAAAUAGAAGUGUGCAUAAAUUAGGUUUAGAAAAAUGUAUGAGAUGGGCUUAUGCAAAAGGCUUCAGCAGGGAAUCAAAUGCUAAAUAAAAUGAUAAAAGCAGAUCUGAUAGUCAUGCCUAAUGUCCUAGACGUGUCCAGUUUUUUUCUUCCCUGAUAUAGUUUCUCUGCAGCUCAUGAUAGUUACAAAAUGUCUCAAAUGACUAUUUUUGUUGUUGUUGCUGAGUACAAUGGACUGCCAACACUUCAAUCGUAGUUAAACUAGUCCAGCAGGAAAAAAGCCAAGGAAUGUCUCCUUUCCAACGUUUUCUGCAGUGUGGUAGUGUAUAGCUCUCUGCUAUAAGAUUUCUGAAAUGAGAAUUCCAGUCGCCAGACUGGAUGAAACAUGACCAAGACAUAUACACUUUUCUAGAAGUUUCCUCUACCUUAUUUAAUUUCUCCCUCAGACCAGGCAGUAUUACUCAUUUCCCUACUAGUAUUUUUUUUUUCUGACACCUCUUGGGGCCCUGGUACAACACCCCCUCCUCCCGCAUUCCACAGAUACACACAGUAGGACUUUGUCAUUCUUGACUUGAUGUGGGACAGUGGGAAUCCUCUACUACCCCUCACCUCCAACCCACUGCUAGGGACUUGACUGCUGCCUCUAGGCAGAGUAGUAUAAAUACUUGUCUAUCUGCUUAUAGACCUUCUUUUUAUUUCACCCAUUUGUCUAACUAAUUAUUUUAGAGCAUUCCUAUAAUCUCAUCUCCUUCUUGCCUGUAGUUUUUUAAGACCCUGAUAGGAACCCCUCAUUUCUCCCACCUCUUGAAAUUAACCAUCGGGCUCUCAAACCCAAGAUGCCAGUCUUGU
ensembl:lncRNA